UGCGAGAGGAGCAAAACAGGCCGUCUCCGUUUGACCGCUUUCUUUAUCCGAUUCAAAAGGUUUGUUUUGUUUUGUUUUUUUGUUUUUCCUUCGUCUUCUUUUUAUGUAAUUCAUGUGAGGUUUGUCUGCUCACAUCUGCACGGCAGCGAGUCGAGGACAUCACAGAGGUGCAGAUGCCGUCACUUGACUCACCAGAGCGUUUCCCUAAAAACAUGAAGUCUGAGUUGGAGAUAUCCCCAGAUAAUGAAGUGUUGGAUUCGCUCAGCAUGGAAACUCCCCAAACUCCCGCAGCCUGCCAAGGAGAAACUGAAGUGUCUUUAAGUAAUCUGGACAAGGUGUGGAAGGAAAAAUGCCACUUUUAUACGGCUCCUUUCCUCUCUUCUCUUAUGAAUGUAAAUUCAUUCAGGGAACAUGCAAUUAGUCUGCAUUUGUCUCGCAUCCAAGCUUGCCUGUGUCUGCUGCGGCUGCUGCUUGUUUUAAAACAUGCCAGACGUCAACAUGCCUCAUGAAUAGCUCAUUAACUGUAAUAUUUGGAUGCCGUAUAUGUGUUGGUGUCUUUUUAAGAAAGCAAAAUGUGUGAAGAAAUGUUGUCUAUCCCACCACGAUUCCAACCGCGAGUGAAUCAGACUCAUCAGAGCCGUCCCCGCAGGCCGUGCUGAAUAUUUGCUGCGAGGGCUGGCAGCAGCAGCAGCAGGAGUCCCCCAGCGACCAGUGAUAGGAUAGCCAAGAGACUGACCCGAGAGACUGACCCGAGAGGACCCGAGAGACUCGGAGGAGUUGUUCUCCUGUGAGAGGGCACUGAAAUCAUCAGAGAUCUUGCUGAAGGGUGAAGCAGUUAUCAUUGGAAAAAAAAAAACAAAAAAAAAAAAAACGUGACUGAUGGAGACCCAGCGAUGCAGAGAGAUCAAAGGGUGAAUCUGACUCCAUGGGGAGGCACCUACUGCAGUGACACAGGGGAUUUGAAGAAACACUGGAGCUGACUGGACACUAAGCGUCACGUUCAUGCUAAGCUCUACCAACUGCCUCAGCCUGACGCCGAGCCCCUAACCUCAACAUCCACAUGUAAUCCCAGGAGCACAUCUGCACCACUUCACCUCUGGAGCACACGGCGCAGAGCUUCAUGUCAGGGCAAAUCUGAGACCGAAUCAAGGCAAAGGUCUAACGCUGUCGGGGCCUGACAUGCUUCAGAGGCAUCUGCAGCAGAGGAGUGCAGAGAUCAAUGUCCUAUUCCAGAACAUCCAGUCCCUCAUCACCUAUCAAAAGACUGUCAGUCCGCGGAAGGUCAAGCCCCGGCAAAGCCUCAUCUCACAGAUGGAAAGACGGCGGCUGCCAAUGGAGCAGCAACAGU